AGAGUUUGAUCCUGGCUCAGAUUGAACGCUGGCGGCAGGCCUAACACAUGCAAGUCGAGCGGUAGCACAGAGAGCUUGCUCUCGGGUGACGAGCGGCGGACGGGUGAGUAAUGUCUGGGAAACUGCCUGAUGGAGGGGGAUAACUACUGGAAACGGUAGCUAAUACCGCAUAACGUCGCAAGACCAAAGUGGGGGACCUUCGGGCCUCAUGCCAUCAGAUGUGCCCAGAUGGGAUUAGCUGGUAGGUGGGGUAACGGCUCACCUAGGCGACGAUCCCUAGCUGGUCUGAGAGGAUGACCAGCCACACUGGAACUGAGACACGGUCCAGACUCCUACGGGAGGCAGCAGUGGGGAAUAUUGCACAAUGGGCGCAAGCCUGAUGCAGCCAUGCCGCGUGUGUGAAGAAGGCCUUCGGGUUGUAAAGCACUUUCAGCGGGGAGGAAGGCGAUAAGGUUAAUAACCUUGUCGAUUGACGUUACCCGCAGAAGAAGCACCGGCUAACUCCGUGCCAGCAGCCGCGGUAAUACGGAGGGUGCAAGCGUUAAUCGGAAUUACUGGGCGUAAAGCGCACGCAGGCGGUCUGUCAAGUCGGAUGUGAAAUCCCCGGGCUCAACCUGGGAACUGCAUUCGAAACUGGCAGGCUAGAGUCUUGUAGAGGGGGGUAGAAUUCCAGGUGUAGCGGUGAAAUGCGUAGAGAUCUGGAGGAAUACCGGUGGCGAAGGCGGCCCCCUGGACAAAGACUGACGCUCAGGUGCGAAAGCGUGGGGAGCAAACAGGAUUAGAUACCCUGGUAGUCCACGCUGUAAACGAUGUCGAUUUGGAGGUUGUGCCCUUGAGGCGUGGCUUCCGGAGCUAACGCGUUAAAUCGACCGCCUGGGGAGUACGGCCGCAAGGUUAAAACUCAAAUGAAUUGACGGGGGCCCGCACAAGCGGUGGAGCAUGUGGUUUAAUUCGAUGCAACGCGAAGAACCUUACCUGGUCUUGACAUCCACAGAACUUUCCAGAGAUGGAUUGGUGCCUUCGGGAACUGUGAGACAGGUGCUGCAUGGCUGUCGUCAGCUCGUGUUGUGAAAUGUUGGGUUAAGUCCCGCAACGAGCGCAACCCUUAUCCUUUGUUGCCAGCGGUUAGGCCGGGAACUCAAAGGAGACUGCCAGUGAUAAACUGGAGGAAGGUGGGGAUGACGUCAAGUCAUCAUGGCCCUUACGACCAGGGCUACACACGUGCUACAAUGGCAUAUACAAAGAGAAGCGACCUCGCGAGAGCAAGCGGACCUCAUAAAGUAUGUCGUAGUCCGGAUUGGAGUCUGCAACUCGACUCCAUGAAGUCGGAAUCGCUAGUAAUCGUAGAUCAGAAUGCUACGGUGAAUACGUUCCCGGGCCUUGUACACACCGCCCGUCACACCAUGGGAGUGGGUUGCAAAAGAAGUAGGUAGCUUAACCUUCGGGAGGGCGCUUACCACUUUGUGAUUCAUGACUGGGGUGAAGUCGUAACAAGGUAACC
rnacentral:rRNA from 1 species